rnacentral:lncRNA from 1 species
CAACGCUCACAAGAACAAAAACUGGAACAAAAUUAGGCUACUUAGUUGCGCCCUAACAGUAUAACUUUGCAACGAGUGCUUUUUCACAUUUUAUCGAAGAAAGCGUCAAACCUAAUUAUAUUGCUCUAUAAUGCCCAGAGAGUGUAAAUUUGGAACGAAUCGAUAUCAACACUCACAAAAAUAAAAACCGGAACAACAUUUGAGUACUCAGUUGCGCCUUAACAGUAUAACUUUGCAACCAGUACUUUUUCUCAUUUUAUCGAAGUAAGCGUCAAACCUAAUUAUAUUAUUCUAUUAUGCCCAGAGAGUGUAAAUUUGGAACGAUUCGAUGUCAACGCUCACAAGAACAAAAACCGGAACAACAUUAGACUCUUCAGUUGCACCCUAACAGUAUAACUUUGCAACGCGUACUUUUUCUCGUUUUAUCGAAGAAAGCGUAAAAUCUAAUUAUAUUGUUGUAUUAUGCCCAGAUAGUGUAAAUUUGGAACGAAUCGAUGUCAACGCUCACAAGAACAAAAACCGGAACAACAUUAGAGCACUCAGUUCCGCCAUAACAGUAUAACUUUGCAACGAGUGCUUUUUUUCAUUUUAUCGAAGAAAGCGUAAAACCUAGUUAUAUUAUUCUAUUAUGCCCAGAGAGUGUAAAUUUGGAACGAAUCGAUUUCAACGCUCACAAGAACAAAAACCGGAACAACAUUAGACUACUCAGUUGCGCCCUAACAGUAUAACUUUGCAACGAGUACUUUUUCUCAUUUAUCGAAGAAAGCGUCAAACCUAAUUAUAUUGUUCUAUCUUGCCCAGAGAGUGUAAAUUUGGAACGAAUCGAUGUCAAAGCUCACAAGAACAAAAAUCGGAUCAAUAUUAGACUACUCAGUUGCGCCCUAACAGUAUAACUUUGCAACGAGUGCUUUUUCUCAUUUUAUCGAAGAAAGCGUAAAUCUAAUUAUAUUGUUCUAUUAUACCUAGAGAGUGUAAAAUUGGAACGAACUGAUGUGAGCGCUCACAAGAACAAAAACCGGAUCAAUAUUAGACUACUCAGUUCCGCCCUAACAGUAUAACUUUGCAACGAGUACUUUUUCUCAUUUAUCGAAGAAAGCGUCAAACCUAAUUAUAUUGUUCUAUUAUGCCCAGAGAGUGUAAAUUUGGAACGAAUCGAUUUUAAAGCUCACAAGAACAAAAACCGGAACAAUAUUAGACAACUCAGUUGCGCCCGAACAGUAUAACUUUGCAACGAGUGCUUUUUCUCAUUUUAUCGAAGAAAGCGUCAAACCUCAUUAUAUUGUUCUAUUAUGCCGAGAGAGUGUAAAUUUGGAACGAAUCGAUGUCAACGCUCACAAGAACAAAAACCGGAACAACAUUAGACUCUUCAGUUGCACCCUAACAGUAUAACUUUGCAACGCGUACUUUUUCUCGUUUUAUCGAAGAAAGCGUAAAAUCUAAUUAUAUUGUUGUAUUAUGCCCAGAUAGUGUAAAUUUGGAACGAAUCGAUGUCAACGCUCACAAGAACAAAAACCGGAACAACAUUAGAGCACUCAGUUCCGCCAUAACAGUAUAACUUUGCAACGAGUGCUUUUUUUCAUUUUAUCGAAGAAAGCGUAAAACCUAGUUAUAUUAUUCUAUUAUGCCCAGAGAGUGUAAAUUUGGAACGAAUCGAUUUCAACGCUCACAAGAACAAAAACCGGAACAACAUUAGACUACUCAGUUGCGCCCUAACAGUAUAACUUUGCAACGAGUACUUUUUCUCAUUUUAUCGAAGAAAGCGUAAAAUCUAAUUAUAUUGUUCUAUUAUUCCCAGAUAGUGUAAAUUUGGAACGAAUUGAUGUCAACGCUCACAAGAACAAAAACCGGAACAACUUUAGACUACUCAGUUGCGCCUAACAGUAUAACUUUGCAACGAGUACUUUUUCUCAUUUUAUCGAAGAAAGCGUCAAAACUAAUUAUAUUGUUCUAUUACGCCCAGAGAGUGUAAAUUUGGAACGAAUUGAUGUCAACGCUCACAAGAACAAAAACUGGAACAAAAUUAGGCUACUUAGUUGCGCCCUAACAGUAUAACUUUGCAACGAGUGCUUUUUCACAUUUUAUCGAAGAAAGCGUCAAACCUAAUUAUAUUGCUCUAUAAUGCCCAGAGAGUGUAAAUUUGGAACGAAUCGAUAUCAACACUCACAAAAAUAAAAACCGGAACAACAUUUGAGUACUCAGUUGCGCCUUAACAGUAUAACUUUGCAACCAGUACUUUUUCUCAUUUUAUCGAAGUAAGCGUCAAACCUAAUUAUAUUAUUCUAUUAUGCCCAGAGAGUGUAAAUC